rnacentral:lncRNA from 1 species
CAAGGCCUCUCAAAGAAGCAGGAUCAGAUAUCCCCAGAGAAAUUAAGCAGGAUGAAGAUGCAAGAGAACUAAAAAGAGGCUGAUUGUUUCUGGUCUUCCACUGUGGCCUGGACUAAUCAGUCGUUUGGAGGGAAAGUGGUGAUCACAGAUGUAUGCUUCAAUAAAAUCUGGGUCUGAAUAUCUGCCCUAGAAGAAAGGAAAUGGCCAGGGCCAUCAGCCCAUGUGCCAAGGGUCACAAAUGUAAAUUAACUCCGACACUGAGCAGGAAAAUUAGGUGUUUGAAGUGACCAGAUGUAUUAGGGUCAAGCCGUGUGGUGAACAGGAGGACAUGGGCCCCAUCUAACGGCUGAGAGUUUGAUUUCACUUUUUAAAAAAUUAACAGAGCUGCUGUCCUCCUCUGCUGGUCCGGUGAAGUGCGUUAAGGAGUCACCUCCGGCCCACGGGUGCACGGUGGUGAGCGCUGGAAGUCAGACUAGCUGGAGUUCCCACAGUUGGUUUCACAAAGCCUCCCAUUCUUACAUCACAAGCAGACUAGGAUUGCAGAAGGCAACACUUAACUUCAAAGUGCCUGGUGUGUUCGAAUUUGGCUGAAAUGGAACAUCUCCCUCUCAUCGACCCGACACUUUCGCCUCUAUCCUUCUGCACGCCUGUCCCAAGACAAACCUCGCUGCUCUGGAAGUUCCUGGGUCACAGCUCUUUCUGCCUUUGUUCGUCCAUUUACUCCGCUGGAGCUCACGCUCUCCCCCUGCUGUGCUCCGCAGUCUUCCAGAGCCAGGCGUCCCUCGACUGUGCCUCCUCUGGGCUCUGCAGUCCUACACUGCCCGACCCUGUCCCACCUGGACUACGACAAGCUCUUCUGGACCCUCUACGGUGGGCACGUAAGGUGGCAUCGUACUUGAUCUUCACAAAGACCUUGCGAGGCUGGAGCUAGCCUUUAUUCUUCAGAUCAGUUGAAGGAAAAUUUAGCGAGAGUAGUUGGAUUAGUUCACAAGCUUAGGUGGUAAACACAGGACUUGGGGCCAAUUCUUCUCUAUUGUCUCCACCCCAUCUGAAUACCAAAUACAUUACAUAGAAUUUAAAUAGAUUUGAAAUACAAAAUACCAUUCAAAGCUAAAUUUUCUUGAAAAUAAAAUCCAAAAUUUCUGAGAAAAACAAGCCAAAGGAUUUUAAAGUAUUCAUUUUUUAUUAUCAGGCUGAUACUCUAUUAAACUCCAUUUAUUUAAGAAAGAUUAGAAUUAUGCCUCAUUGUAAGAAAUGAAGUACAGAAGCUCAG